CUGAGCGAAUGGGUGGACGGCGCGACGGACAGCCGCGACAUCGAGUCGCGCGAAAAACUCUUGCAAGACGUGAUUGGGCGAUGCCGCGUGGAUGAAGACGAUGUCCUGGUGGUCGAGGGAGAUCUCGAUUUGGAGGAAAUAUA
rnacentral:rRNA from 1 species